rnacentral:rRNA from 1 species
UACGUAGGGGGCUAGCGUUGUCCGGAAUCAUUGGGCGUAAAGCGCGCGUAGGCGGCCCGGUAAGUCCGUUGUGAAAGUCAAAGGCUCAACCUUUGAAAGCCGAUGGAUACUGCCGGGCUGGAGUCCGGAAGAGGCGAGUGGAAUUCCUGGUGUAGCGGUGAAAUGCGCAGAUAUCAGGAGGAACACCAAUGGCGAAGGCGGGUCUCUGGGCCGAUACUGACGCUGAGGAGCGAAAGCGUGGGGAGCGAACAGG